rnacentral:rRNA from 1 species
UUGAAAGGGAAACGAUUGAAGUCAGUCGUACCAGCGGGAAUCAACCUUUCGAGUGGGUUUUCGGACUUUUGAAGUGUGUCAAAACCUUGGAGAUUUCAAAAUUAUCGCUCUUUUGGUGUACUUUCUCGUAGGAGGUUAACAUCGAUUUUGAUCAUCAUAAAAGGAUUGGAGGAAUGUAGCUUCGAUCUCGUAUUGAAGUGUUAUAGCCUUUGAUAAAUGUGAUGAUUAGGAUCGAGGAUUGCAACGAAUACCCUUUUGGGCUAUCCGCCUGAUCUCUGAUACGUGGCCUUGGUGUUGAAAGCGUGCUUAUGAUAUUAAGGUAUUACGGUCAAAAGGUUAGAACGGAUUACAUUCGUUAAGGAUGUUGACGUA